rnacentral:rRNA from 1 species
GGUAAUGCCGGAUGCUCCGACUCCUCGCAUGGGGUGUCGGGAAAGAUUUCAUCGGUAUGGGAUGGGGUCGCGUCCUAUCAGGUAGUCGGCGGGGUAACGGCCCACCGAGCCUACGACGGGUAGCCGGCCUGAGAGGGCGACCGGCCACAUUGGGACUGAGAUACGGCCCAGACUCCUACGGGAGGCAGCAGUGGGGAAUAUUGCACAAUGGGCGCAAGCCUGAUGCAGCGACGCCGCGUGCGGGAUGACGGCCUUCGGGUUGUAAACCGCUUUUGAUCGGGAGCAAGCCUUCGGGUGAGUGUACCUUUCGAAUAAGCACCGGCUAACUACGUGCCAGCAGCCGCGGUAAUACGUAGGGUGCAAGCGUUAUCCGGAAUUAUUGGGCGUAAAGGGCUCGUAGGCGGUUCGUCGCGUCCGGUGUGAAAGUCCAUCGCUUAACGGUGGAUCUGCGCCGGGUACGGGCGGGCUGGAGUGCGGUAGGGGAGACUGGAAUUCCCGGUGUAACGGUGGAAUGUGUAGAUAUCGGGAAAGAACACCAC